UACGGGGGGGGGCAAGCGUUGUUCGGAAUUACUGGGCGUAAAGGCUUGUAGGUGGCCAACUAAGUCAGACGUGAAAUCCCUCGGCUUAACCGGGGAACUGCGUCUGAUACUGGAUGGCUUGAGAUUGGGAGAGGGAUGCGGAAUUCCAGGUGUAGCGGUGAAAUGCGUAGAUAUCAGGAGGAACACCGGUGGCGAAGGCGGUUCUCUGGGCAUUACCUGACGCUGAGGAGCGAAAGUGUGGGGAGCGAACAGG
rnacentral:rRNA from 1 species